GGAGAGGUCGCAUAGUGGUCUAGUGCAGCGGUCUUGAAAACCGCCAGGGCUGCAAGGCUCUCGUGGGUUCGAAUCCCACCCUCUCCGCCA
rnacentral:tRNA from 1 species